rnacentral:lncRNA from 1 species
UACACUUCAAUAGUACUCCCAAGUAGAGUAGAUCGAUAGCUGUAAUGGUAGAACACUGCUACUACUAGUACUCUUCAACAGUGAAACGGCUCUGCGCAUUAAUACGAGGAUUCUUUUUUGUGAUUGUAACCAUCAGAUUUUGGCAGUAAAAAGGAGAUAAUGGUCGUCCAUCAUACUAGUGUUUCUGGAGCCGUCUUGGAACUAUACAUUCAUAAGUAACUGUAGUUGGUUGCUUAUCAGUAAACUUAAAAGCAUGAAAUCACUUGUCCCUGUAAAAAGGAAGGCAUUCUCUUUAGACUACUUACAAUAAAGAAAAAUAUAGAGUAACAACAUGAAUAUAUUAUCAGUCUAGGUUACGACGGUGACGGAGCGGCUACGUGAAC